CCGGUAAGGUGAUAUGAACCGUUAUAACCGGCGAUACCCGAAUGGGGAAACCCAGUGUGACUCGUCACACUAUCAUUAACUGAAUCCAUAGGUUAAUGAGGCGAACCGGGGGAACUGAAACAUCUAAGUACCCCGAGGAAAAGAAAUCAACCGAGAUUCCCCCAGUAGCGGCGAGCGAACGGGGAGGAGCCCAGAGCCUGAAUCAGCAUGUGUGUUAGUGGAAGCGUCUGGAAAGGCGCGCGAUACAGGGUGACAGCCCCGUACACAAAAGCGCAUGUGCUGUGAGCUCGAUGAGUAGGGCGGGACACGUGGUAUCCUGUCUGAAUAUGGGGGGACCAUCCUCCAAGGCUAAAUACUCCUGACUGACCGAUAGUGAACCAGUACCGUGAGGGAAAGGCGAAAAGAACCCCGGCGAGGGGAGUGAAAAAGAACCUGAAACCGUGUACGUACAAGCAGUGGGAGCACCCUUUUGGGUGUGACUGCGUACCUUUUGUAUAAUGGGUCAGCGACUUAUAUUCUGUAGCAAGGUUAACCGAAUAGGGGAGCCGGAGGGAAACCGAGUCUUAACCGGGCGUUAAGUUGCAGGGUAUAGACCCGAAACCCGGUGAUCUAGCCAUGGGCAGGUUGAAGGUUGGGUAACACUAACUGGAGGACCGAACCGACUAAUGUUGAAAAAUUAGCGGAUGACCUGUGGCUGGGGGUGAAAGGCCAAUCAAACCGGGAGAUAGCUGGUUCUCCCCGAAAGCUAUUUAGGUAGCGCCUCGUGAAUUCAUCUCCGGGGGUAGAGCACUGUUUCGGCUAGGGGGCCAUCCCGGCUUACCAACCCGAUGCAAACUGCGAAUACCGGAGAAUGUUAUCACGGGAGACACACGGCGGGUGCUAACGUCCGUCGUGAAGAGGGAAACAACCCAGACCGCCAGCUAAGGUCCCAAAGUCAUGGUUAAGUGGGAAACGAUGUGGGAAGGCCCAGACAGCCAGGAUGUUGGCUUAGAAGCAGCCAUCAUUUAAAGAAAGCGUAAUAGCUCACUGGUCGAGUCGGCCUGCGCGGAAGAUGUAACGGGGCUAAACCAUGCAC
rnacentral:rRNA from 1 species